GCUGGGCGUGGUGGCGCACGCCUGUAAUCCCAGCUACUCAGGAGGCUGAGGCAGGAGAAUCACUUGAAUCCAGGAGGCGGAGGUUGCAGUGAGCCAAGAUCAUGCCACUGCACUCCGGCCUGGGUGACAGAGUGAGACUUUGUCUCAA
rnacentral:SRP_RNA from 1 species